rnacentral:rRNA from 1 species
UACGUAGGGUGCAAGCGUUGUCCGGAAUUAUUGGGCGUAAAGAGCUCGUAGGCGGUCUGUCACGUCGGCUGUGAAAUCCCGAGGCUCAACCUCGGGUCUGCAGUCGAUACGGGCAAACUAGAGUACUGCAGGGGAGACUGGAAUUCCUGGUGUAGCGGUGAAAUGCGCAGAUAUCAGGAGGAACACCGGUGGCGAAGGCGGGUCUCUGGGCCGAUACUGACGCUGAGGAGCGAAAGCGUGGGGAGCGAACAGG